AAUGAACGCUGGCGGCGUGCUUUACACAUGCAAGCCGAGCGAGGCCAGGUAGCAAUACCUGAGUCGAGCGGCGCACGGGUGAGUAACGCGUGGAUAACCUGCCUGAUGGUGGGGGAUAACCCGGGGAAACUCGGGCUAAUACCGCAUAACACCGAGAGGUCAAAGGGGGCCGCAAGGCUCUCGCCUGCAGAGGGGUCCGCGUCCGAUUAGCUAGUUGGCAGGGUAAUGGCCUACCAAGGCGACGAUCGGUAGCCGGCCUGAGAGGGUGAUCGGCCACACUGGAACUGAGACACGGUCCAGACUCCUACGGGAGGCAGCAGUGGGGAAUUUUGCGCAAUGGGCGAAGGCCUGACGCAGCAACGCCGCGUGGAGGAUGAAGGUCUUCGGGAUU
rnacentral:rRNA from 1 species